GUGAGGAAUAUUGGUCAAUGGGCGGGAGCCUGAACCAGCCAAGUCGCGUGAAGGAAGAAGGAUCUAUGGUACGUAAACUUCUUUUGCAGGGGAAUAAAGUGCAGGACGUGUCCUGUUUUGUAUGUACCCUGAGAAUAAGGAUCGGCUAACUCCGUGCCAGCAGCCGCGGUAAUACGGAGGAUCCGAGCGUUAUCCGGAUUUAUUGGGUUUAAAGGGUGCGUAGGUGGAUUGAUAAGUCAGCGGUGAAAGUUUGCAGCUUAACUGUAAAAUUGCCGUUGAAACUGUCGGUCUUGAGUGCAAAUGAGGUAGGCGGAAUGUGUUGUGUAGCGGUGAAAUGCAUAGAUAUCACGCAGAACUGCGAUUGCGAAGGCAGCUUACUAAGCUACAACUGACACUGAAGCACGAAAGCGUGGGGAUCAAACAGGAUUAGAUACCCCUGUAGUCC
rnacentral:rRNA from 1 species